rnacentral:snoRNA from 1 species
GGGGUGUGCUCAGAGCAGGGGCCUGAAGAGUGGUUUCUCUGUUUAUAACACACCCAAUAGGAAUCUGGGGCCAUUGUGAGGAGGGGCACAAGAUGCGUGGCCUUCUUAUGAACAAAUGCCCUACAUGU